CCGAGCAUUGGGAAGGGCCCGGAGAGGAAAGAGGUCCUUCCCAGCGGAGGAACAACGUGACCGACGGAAGAGGCAGGGUUGGGAUGAGAGCAGCCCGAGCCGAGGGGCUAGGGAAGGAGCCAGAUACACUGGAGGCCGGUGGCGGGUUCCGGGGCCCGGCUGGAAGUCUGGUGGUUAGAGCCUGGUCCCAGCCAGGAAAUGGAAUUCUACAGGACAGAAAAAAUUAGCAGGAUUCAGAGUAAUUCAAAGUUGUAUGUUCUAAAAGAGAAGAACGGUGGGGAUAAUAGGUCGCAUUCCUCUCUGAAAGAAUUAAAGACAUCGAUCUCCUGAUUAAAGGGGUUUACUGAAGGCCCAACAUAAAAGAUCCAGAGCAAAAGCACAUCAUUGUGAAAUUUAGAGCUCAAUCAAAUUAUAAAAGCAUCUGAAAAUAGGUCACAAAAAAGGAUUUGGAAAGAACGGGAAUGUAUCUUUCUAAAACAUAAAGGAAGCAGAAGAGAAGUGCCUUCAAAACUGAAUGGAAAUUAUUUUCAAUCUAGACUUCUAAACCUAGUUAGACCAUCAAUUAAAAAGACAUGCGAGCAUUCAGACAUGCCCCCUUUUUGGGGAAGCUGCUGGAGGAUAAGUGCCAGCAAAACCAUGCAAUAGGAAGACAUGGGAUUUGAGAAAUGGAAUCCAACCCAGGAGACUAUGAAUAGAAGAUCCAGAAUGCCAGCAAUGCAACCAUCCAAAGAGCAACCAGCACAGAUUGGAACAAGGGGAUAGAUGGCUCAGGAAAUGAGGACUUCAAGGAACAAGAAAAAUGGAACUUGCGUAUGAAUGCAUAGAAAGUAUUUCUGAUAGGAUGGUAGGCGUGUUGGAGCAUUUGGGAAAAAUUAAUCACAGGUAUAUGGAAAACUAGGCAAGUGGAAAAACAAGGAAAUCAUUAACUCUCAGAAAAACACAUGGUCAUACAAGAAAGGAGCAAUGGUCAUAGGCUCAACAGUGAAAAUAUUUGUACAGUCAUAAUGUAAACACUGAUGUAUUAUCCACACUGCCUAAAGAGAACUUACAAAUUGGAAAAAGACAACCGUUAGAAAAAUGGGAAAGAAUAUAAGUGGAUUAAUUCACAGAAGAUGAAACUCAGUGGACAAUAAGCUCAACUCAUGAGUAACUGGGGAAAUUAAAACCAUUCACAAACAUCAAAUUGACAAAAGUUUUAAAAUUCUGAUGAUAGAAGGUAUCGGUGAAGUUGUGGAGCUUGGGAACAACUGUCCGCUGCUGGCAGGAGUGUACGCUGGUACAGUUUCUCUGAAGGGCAAUUUAUCAACGUCUAGUAAAACUGGAGAUAUAGGCCCUUAGCACUCCCUGGCAAUCAUUCUCCCGUUCUCCUAGAAGGCCUUUUCUUAUCAUCUCAUCUCUCUUCACACCCUCCAAUUGCUCUUCAUCCACCUUGGGUGUCAGCUGAUAGCCUUGCUUUCUAUUUCACAGAGAAAAUAAAAGCAAUCAGAAGAGCACUUCAACAAAUUCCCACUAUAUCUGCCCACAUACCUGCAUCUGAGCCCAUAGAUUCUGCCUCCUCUCCUUUUACUACAGACGAUUAUGCAUGAUCCAGAAGAGGGAAAAUCUGAUGACUCUAGAGAAAGCAAAUAAACAUGCACACCCUUUGACCUGGUAAUUUCUCCUCCAAGAAAUUCCACAUGUGCACGAGGAAACAUACAAGAUUCAUUGUAGCACUAGGAUAGUGAAAAAUGGAACCCAGUUGUCCAUCAGCAAGAAAAUGGAUUUAAAGAAUUAAUUGUGGUGUAGGCAUAAAUUGAAUAUUAUACACGAAGUCAAAGAGUAUGCAUGUUAUUCAUUUUCUCUGGAAUCAUUAGUUUUUCCCUUUCUCUGGAUGAAAUAAAUGAAAUGGGCUACGUGUAU
rnacentral:lncRNA from 1 species